GCAAGUCGAGCGAUUUACUUCGGUAAAGAGCGGCGGACGGGUGAGUAACGCUUGGGUAACCUGCUCUAUACACACGGAUAACGUACCGAAAGGUACGCUAAUACGAGAUAACAUAUUUUUAUCGCAUGGUAAGAAUAUCAAAGCUCCGGCGGUAUAGGAUGGACCCGCGUCUGAUUAGCUAGUUGGUAAGGUAACGGCUUACCAAGGCGACGAUCAGUAGCCGACCUGAGAGGGUGAUCGGCCACAUUGGAACUGAGACACGGUCCAAACUCCUACGGGAGGCAGCAGUGGGGAAUAUUGCACAAUGGGCGAAAGCCUGAUGCAGCAACGCCGCGUGAGCGAUGAAGGCCUUCGGGUCGUAAAGCUCUGUCCUCAAGGAAGAUAAUGACGGUACUUGAGGAGGAAGCCCCGGCUAACUACGUGCCAGCAGCCGCGGUAAUACGUAGGGGGCUAGCGUUAUCCGGAAUUACUGGGCGUAAAGGGUGCGUAGGUGGUUUCUUAAGUCAGAGGUGAAAGGCUACGGCUCAACCGUAGUAAGCCUUUGAAACUGAGAAACUUGAGUGCAGGAGAGGAGAGUAGAAUUCCUAGUGUAGCGGUGAAAUGCGUAGAUAUUAGGAGGAAUACCAGUUGCGAAGGCGGCUCUCUGGACUGUAACUGACACUGAGGCACGAAAGCGUGGGGAGCAAACAGGAUUAGAUACCCUGGUAGUCCACGCCGUAAACGAUGAGUACUAGCUGUCGGAGGUUACCCCCUUCGGUGGCGCAGCUAACGCAUUAAGUACUCCG
rnacentral:rRNA from 1 species